AACGAACGCUGGCGGCAGGCUUAACACAUGCAAGUCGAACGGGCGUAGCAAUACGUCAGUGGCAGACGGGUGAGUAACACGUGGGAACGUCCCCCUCGGUUCGGAAUAACUCAGGGAAAAUUGAGCUAAUACCGGAUACGUUCGAGAGGAGAAAGAUUUAUCGCCGAGGGAUCGGCCCGCGUCUGAUGAGCUAGUUGGUGAGGUAAUGGCUCACUAAGGCGACGAUCAGUAGCUGGUCUGAGAGGAUGAUCAGCCACACUGGGACGGAGACACGGCCCAGACUCCUACGGGAGGCAGCAGUGGGGAAUAUUGGACAAUGGGCGCAAGCCUGAUCCAGCCAUGCCGCGUGAGUGAUGAGGGCCUUAGGGUUGUAAAGCUCUUUUGCCAGGGAAGAUAAUGACUGUACCUGGAGAAUAAGCCCCGGCUAACUUCGUGCCAGCCGCCGCCGUAA
rnacentral:rRNA from 1 species